AGUGAACGCUGGCGGUAGGCCUAACACAUGCAAGUCGAACGGCAGCACAGGAGAGCUUGCUCUCUGGGUGGCGAGUGGCGGACGGGUGAGGAAUACAUCGGAAUCUGCCCAGUCGUGGGGGAUAACGUAGGGAAACUUACGCUAAUACCGCAUACGACCUUCGGGUGAAAGAGGGGGAUCGCAAGACCUCUCGCGAUUGGGUGAGCCGAUGUCGGAUUAGCUAGUUGGCGGGGUAAUGGCCCACCAAGGCGACGAUCCGUAGCUGGUCUGAGAGGAUGAUCAGCCACACUGGAACUGAGACACGGUCCAGACUCCUACGGGAGGCAGCAGUGGGGAAUAUUGGACAAUGGGCGCAAGCCUGAUCCAGCCAUACCGCGUGGGUGAAGAAGGCCUUCGGGUUGUAAAGCCCUUUUGUUGGGAAAGAAAUCUUUCAGGCUAAUACCCUGGGAGGAUGACGGUACCCAAAGAAUAAGCACCGGCUAACUUCGUG
rnacentral:rRNA from 1 species